rfam:Cephalotus follicularis DNA, scaffold: scaffold4207, isolate: St1.
AAUCAAAUUAAGUCAUGGUCCGAUAAAAUUGGAACGAUAUAAAGAAGAUUAGUAUGGUCUUUGCUCAAGGAUGAUACGCAAAAAUUUAGAAAUGGUCUAAAAUUUU